rnacentral:lncRNA from 1 species
GCGUGGCAGUUGUGGCCUCAAGAAACAGACGUUUGAGGCUUCUCACUGUCCUGGAACUUGUGAAAUACACAAGGCUCGCUGCCCAGAAAACCCCAGAGACCUGCUUGUCUCUACUUCGCCAGAGCUGGAACUUUGAGCAAGGACAGCUUCUCUCACGUGGUGUCUGGGCAUUGACUUCAGGAGCUGGAGAUGGAAGCUGUCCACAAACUCAGAAGCCACAUGAGGACACGGAUGUUCGUGCACUGCCCACUUUCAUGGGUUUGGAAAGCAGAAAUGCCAGGCUAACGUGUUCAUCCUUGGGGAGAGUCUAGAUUGAAUGUCAGGACACCGUGACAGGACAUUCUACACACGAGGGUGCUUUCCCACCACCCACCCAUUUCUGCCCCACUGCCUUAGCACUCCUCUACACUGGGGAAUCAAGCCUUCACAGGACCAAGGGCCUUCCCUCCCAUUGAUGCUAGCCUUCAGAUGAAGACAUAGAACUCUCAGCUCCUCCUGCACCAUGCCUGCCUAGAUGCUGCCGUGCUCUCACCUUGAUGAUAAUGGAGUGAACCUCUGAACCUGAAAGCCAGCUCCAAUUAAAUG